rnacentral:rRNA from 1 species
UACGUAGGUGGCAAGCGUUGUCCGGAUUUAUUGGGUUUAAAGGGUGCGUAGGCGGUCCUAUAAGUCAGUUGUGAAAUACGGCAGCUUAACUGUCGAGGUGCAAUUGAUACUGCAGGACUUGAGUACAGACGAGGUAGGCGGAAUUGACGGUGUAGCGGUGAAAUGCUUAGAUAUCGUCAAGAACACCGAUAGCGAAGGCAGCUUACUAGACUGUAACUGACGCUGAGGCACGAAAGUGUGG